CGAACGCUGGCGGCGUGCUUAACACAUGCAAGUCGAACGAGAAAAUUUCCUUCGGGAAGUGAGUAAAGUGGCGCACGGGUCCGGAACACGUGGGUAAUCUACCCUCGGGUGGGGGACAACCCGUCGAAAGAUGGGCUAAUACCCCGUAAGACCACAGAAUCCUUGGAUUCAGGGGUAAAAGGUGGCCUCUAUUUAUAAGCCAUCACCUGAGGAUGAGCCGGCGCACCAUUAGCUUGUUGGUGAGGUAAAGGCUCACCAAGGCCGAGAUGGUUAGCUGGUCUGAGAGGACGACCAGCGACACUGGAACUGAGACACGGUCCAGACUCCUACGGGAGGCAGCAGUGGGGAAUAUUGGACAAUGGGCGAAAGCCUGAUCCAGCAACGCCGCGUGAGUGAUGAAGGCCCUCGGGUCGUAAAGCUCUGUCAGAUGGAACGAAACCGGAUGACCUAAUACGUCAUCCCUUGACGGUACCAUCAAAGGAAGCACCGGCUAACUCU
rnacentral:rRNA from 1 species